rnacentral:rRNA from 1 species
GAUAACAGGCUGAUGAUGCCCAAGAGUCCAUAUCGACGGCAUCGUUUGGCACCUCGAUGUCGGCUCAUCUCAUCCUGGGGCUGGAGCAGGUCCCAAGGGUACGGCUGUUCGCCGUUUAAAGAGGUACGUGAGCUGGGUUUAGAACGUCGUGAGACAGUUCGGUCCCUAUCUGCCGUGGGUGUAGGAUACUUGAGAGGAGUUGCCCCUAGGACGAGAGGAC